GCCGCCGUAGCUCAGACUGGUAGAGCGCCGGCCUUGUAAGGGCUAUCAGGAUAGCCGGUGGUCCGGGGUUCAAGUCCCCGCGGCGGCU
rnacentral:tRNA from 1 species